CCGUAUGAAUAAAAACUAGCAUUUGCUCAAGAUAAGUUUGCUCAGCUCGAUUCUGAGUAAAGUAAACUCUUGUAGCAUUUGCUCAACUUGGUAUGAAUAAAAGAUAACUUUACUCAGCUUGGACUGUAGCAUGUUCGAAAAUCGAACAUAGCUUUUACUCCAUCAUUCAUCUGUCAAAGGAGACUGCGCCAUCCAGAAAUUUGUAUUCUUUUCAUCUAUUGACAAAGUAGAUUGCCGAAUUUUCUAGUAUUUUAUCUAUGCUACGAUUAUUUUUCUGGGUUGUUGAUCUACCACAAGUGAUUUGAGUUGUAAAAUGGGCAUAAAUAGAUGACUCCGUCUUUUAUGAAUGCUUUGGUUUGAAAUCCGUAUAAAUUUCGUCACACCUCAAAGCCGGAUAAAACCGUUCGCGAACAGAAACUUUUCUAAUUGAUUAUGCACGGAUCUCUAAAGGUAUGCAUUGGAGUAUAAUUUUCGUUUUGUGAAACAUGGUACUAUUCAGUCGAAGAACACAAGAUCAGGUGCAGGAUAAUGUAAACCAAAGAAACUAGCAUGAUAAAGUGGUAGUGACUAUUUCGCUUAUUGGUUCUUCAAAUGGAACGUGUUGGCUAUUCUGCACUCUAUACUGCCUAUAAUUGCAGUUCAAACCUAAAUACAAGGAGGACCUAUAUGUAAGCCAUGUUCUGCUGUACAAAAAAAAACAAAGGAUAGUUACUAGAAUAACUGUGGUUAAGAUCAGCUUUUUUUAAUUACUUCGAGAAGCUACGUGUUUUCCUCAACAUGGAACGUUUCACCCAAACAAGCGAUUUUCUGUCUGACCCACUGUUUUUCGGCAUAAGAACUAAUGUUAUUGUUGCUGUUAUAACGAGAUACGGAUUGGACAUCUGGACCGAAAAGUAAAAAAAUGUGAGCAGUUAUAAAGCAGUUAUUCAUGUUUCAACGACCAUCUCUUCUUCUACUCAAAACGCCAGCCAAGAUAAAGAGAAAAGUGCUGCUCAACUAACAUUCAUCGUGUAACAGCAUCCAUGUUAAAGCGGUUGAAAGUGUGUUUAAAGACUGGCUCGAAUUGAUACGAUGACCAUGACGACGAAGCUAUCAUUGCAAUAGAUGACAGUAAUCAAACACAUGAUAGCGAGGGUCCCAUGUUAAGCGUCACAUUGGUUUGUAGUAACAGCUUCUAUUCAUAGGAACAGUUCUGCUGCAUGACGAACGAUGUGUGAGUGAAAAUAAAUCCAUAGCGCCGAAAAUAUCAUUUUCAACAGAAAUUUGUUAACUCUAUUGCGUCUAAAUAUAAAAAGGAAGAAAUUGUUGAAACUGCGCCAGCACAUGCAGUAGUAUUGUAUCAGUACGAGUACCAAUCCAACAGCGACUACCAUGUGUGCCAAGCAGCAGUCUUUGGACGGUUAAUUGCGGAUGAGUACAUGUUCAAUCCGUCAUAGUUGCUGAUUUUAAUGUCAAAGAUUUCGAAAAAGAAAGUCCAUCUCCAAUAUACAAUGCAUGGUUCAGGA